rnacentral:rRNA from 1 species
CGUAGGGUGCAAGCGUUGUCCGGAAUUAUUGGGCGUAAAGAGCUCGUAGGCGGUUGGUCGCGUCGGCUGUGAAAUCCCGGAGCUCAACUCCGGGCCCGUGCAGUCGAUACGGGCCGGACUUGAGUGUUGCAGGGGAGGACUGGAAUUCCUGGUGUAGCGGUGAAAUAGCGCAGAUAUCAGGAGGAACACCGGUGGCGAAGGCGGGUCGUCUGGGCGAACAACUGACGCUGAGGAGCGAAAGACGUGGGGGGAGGCGAACAGGAUU